AACGAACGCUGGCGGCAGGCUUAACACAUGCAAGUCGAACGCAUCCUUCGGGGUGAGUGGCAGACGGGUGAGUAACGCGUGGGAACGUGCCCUUCAGUUCGGGAUAACCCAGGGAAACUUGGGCUAAUACCGGAUACGUGCGAGAGCAGAAAGAUUUAUCGCUGAAGGAUCGGCCCGCGUCUGAUUAGCUAGUUGGUGGGGUAAUGGCCCACCAAGGCGACGAUCAGUAGCUGGUCUGAGAGGAUGAUCAGCCACAUUGGGACUGGGACACGGACCAAGCUCGUACGGGAUGCAGCAGUGGGGAAUAUUGGACAAUGGGCGCAAGCCUGAUCCAGCCAUGCCGCGUGAGUGAUGAAGGCCUUAGGGUUGUAAAGCUCCUUCGUCCGGGACGAUAAUGACGGUACCUGAAGAAGAAGCCCCGGCUAACUUCGUGCCAGCAGCCGCCGUAA
rnacentral:rRNA from 1 species